AGCUACUGAUGCAGUGUUGAGGCAGCAGUGGGAGCCACCCUUCCGACUGGCCCACUGCUGUCUCAAUACUGAAGCCAAAUGUCAGAGCCCAGUUCUUAUCAGCUGGUGGGAGAGCUAGAAUUAAUUUUGCUACCUGAACAUCUAACUUAUCCAGCACACUCCCAUUCCUGGAGAGCUACAUUUUUCCCUUCUCCCCAUAUUCUCCCAGUUGAUGUUCCUGGGUAUCAUUCCAGUACCUGUCAGAAUUAAAAUUGUCAAUAUACCAUCCCACUUUACUGGGACUCCCUUCUCCCCAGAGCUGAAUUGUGACAUCUUGUCACCGGCUGCUAACUAAGAACCUGGUGAAGCCUGAUAGAUUUCACCAUUGGCUCACCACAUUGGGCACCUCUGGUAUCAAUCCUAGCAUGGAAAGAGUUAAGGUUCCAGAAUCCUCUAGGACAAUGGGUUUUGCAUUGCUAGCACUUCCUGUUGGGGCCAUCCCAUGCCUGGGUAAUAUUUUGAAGACUGACUGCCUCCCCUUUCCCACUGGCCCACUGCUGCCUCAACACUGAAGCCAAAUAUGCCACUGUGCCUUUCCCCAAGGACUUCCCGGCUAAUGGAGUGGCCACUGCCACCUCCAAGACUGUGGUAGUGCUGGUGGAGUGGGUCAAGCUGCUGCUGCAGAUGUAGCAUGCCAGCAAGCAACUCACCACAGAGAAGCAAUACAAGGGCAUGUAGACUACCUGGUUCAUAACCCCACAGAGCACCAAGUCCUGUCCUGCCUGCUUACAGGAACCUGCCUCAGAGAGAACGUGAUACAGCAUUCGUGCACUCAGUCCUUCCCACAGCCCUCUGAAGAAAAUACUGCCAUUACUUCCAUUUUCCACACGAGGACCCUUGAAUUAUUAUACGAUAGUGGUAAAAGUGACAUCAUACAUAGGAAUCAAGUGCUCUCAGAGCAAAUAGAAAUACUUGAACAACUACAAAUUUGCUGGCUAUAUUUAUGAUUUCCAGGAGGAACUAACAACUGAGCUGAGGCUUUAAAGAUCAAAAGCAUUUUUUUUUUCGACUAAGAAAGACAGGGGAUUAUUCCAGGCAAAGGGAACAACAUUAGCAAAGGCAUAGAGAAAGAGAAUAUGUUCCUUCUGGACCAGACACAUUGAUUGGGGCUGAACCUGGAGUUCCCAGGGGCUAGUCUCUGAGACAGAGGUGGUGUGGGGAAAGAGAUUGGGAAUAUAACUUGAGGUCAUGUGUAAGAAUGUGGAUUAUCCCAUAGAAGACCACAGGGUAUUAGAUAUUGGGUGGAUGAGUGGCAUGAGCAGUUGUUUUUAAAAGAAAACUUUAGCAUAAGAGUGGAGCAUCAGGAGGAAGCAGGGUUGAGGCAAGGAAGCAACGGAU
rnacentral:lncRNA from 1 species